rnacentral:tRNA from 5 species
GCCUCCUUAGCUCAGAUGGUAGAGCAACUGACUUGUAAUCAGUAGGUCGUUGGUUCGAUCCCGACAGGAGGCU